AGCAGCCGCGGUAAUUCCAGCUCCAAUAGCGUAUAUUAAAGUUGUUGCAGUUAAAAAGCUCGUAGUUGAAUUUCGGGAUCGAUUUAUUGGUCGUGCUAUUGUACGUACUGGUAUUAUUGAUUCCUACCUUCUGACGAACCAUGAUGUCAUUAAUUUGGUGUCAUGGGGAAUCAGGACUGUUACUUUGAAAAAAUUAGAGUGUUUAAAGCAGGCUCACGCUUGAAUACAUUAGCAUGGAAUAACGAAAUAGGACGUUUGAUUCUAUUUUGUUGGUUUCUAGGAUCGACGUAAUGAUUAAUAGGGAUAGUUGGGGGCAUUAGUAUUCAAUUGUCAGAGGUGAAAUUCUUGGAUUUAUUGAAGACUAACUACUGCGAAAGCAUUUGCCAAGGAUGUUUUCAUUAAUCAAGAACGAAAGUUAGGGGAUCGAAGACGAUCAGAUACCGUCGUAGUCUUAACCAUAAACUAUGCCGACUAGGGAUCGGAUGAUGUAAUUUUUAAUGACUCAUUCGGCG
rnacentral:rRNA from 1 species